CCAUGUGACGAUUUUGUGUAUGUGAUGUGGAGUGUUGUUGAGCAGUUGUUGUGUGAGUUUACGUUUGUGAUGAAAGGAUUUAGUGGCCAUAGGAAUGUAUUUUUAUACAAAGAGCUGAGGCUCUGUAGAUUACUACAGAUUUGGAAAAGAUGGAGAUUCUAUGGUUAGGUCAACCUUAAUCGAGAGGAAUUGACUUACGCUCAAAUUUCGGGACGAAAUUUCUUUAAGGAGGGUAGAUUGUAAUACCCCGAAAAAUCCAAAUUAAUUUCCGUGGAUUUUUAGAAAUGAUUUCACGAUAGUGGGAGCGAGUACGAGGCUUGGAGAAGUUAUGGAAUUAGUUCGAACGAUUAAUUUUCGAAAACGAACGUUAUUUAGGAGGUCUCAAAAAGUGACUUUUUAUACAUUGGGAAUUUGGGAAAACUUCAUUCAUGAAAGUUGUAGAGCGCGUCGAUACGAGUUCGUGGACAUAUGGAAUGCGAAAAUCGGAGUUCGUAUGAGAAAGUUAUAAGCGAUUGAAAAUCGGGAAAAUUCUAUAAAUACAAAAAAAAGUUCCGGAAAUUGCAUUGGAGGACAGAAAUUUCAGAAACCUAUAUUUUCUCCCCAAUUCUCUCCCGAGCCCAGAUUUGUUCCUCUCUCUUCCACCGGCCAUAUCUCCCUCCACAGACCUCCGAUCGACUUGAUUCCAAAAGUAUUUUCAUUCGCCUUGAAGUCAGUUAAAACUUCCUAGAAGACAUCAAAGUGAGAAAAGAACCAUGGAAGGUGCUAGGAGGCCGAGAAGCUGCACAGCUCGAGCUGGAAUUCGCCCGAUGCUGCUCUUCCUUCACCGGCCGAUAUCUCUCUCAUCCAACCUCGAAUCGAGUUGAUUCCAAAAGGGAUUUUGCUGGGCCUGAGCUAUAUUACAACUUUGUAGAAGACAUCGAGGGGAAAUAACCAACGUGGUAGCCGCUACAAGUCGAAGAACACGGUGCAGUCGAGCUGGAAAUCACCUCCUUUCCCCACCGUCGUUCUCCCUCCUCCGGCCACCUUUUGCCGUGAUUCUUGAGAGGAUUCUGCACUUCUGAGGAUGUAGAUCAUUUCCUCUAAGGUGGAUUGCAUCGAUUUCAUCUGUGGAGAUCGAAUUGGAACGAAUUCAAAACUAGGGUUCUUCGGGUUUCAAACCUUAUAAGGUAAAAUUCUACUUUUUGGCUUAUAAUCUGACUUUGGUGUAGUUAUGAAAGUUUCAAUUCGAGUUAAGAUGAAGAACUUUCGUGUUGGGAGUUUUGUCUAAUUUUGACUUUGGAUGGGUGGCGGUGCCGCCACUGUGAUGGUGGUUUCCGGCGACCUCCGGCCACCCCAAGGACAGUUUCUGUCCAUUUUUGUGUUCUACGUGUCGAUACGAUCGUUUGCAUAUAUAAUUCAUAAUUUUUGGAUAUCGUAUGAUUAAGUUAUGAAUUUUUAAGUUUCGAUCGAUUUCGAUCGUUCGAUUUGUGAUCUGUGAAGAUCAGACCGUCUGAUGGAAUGGUAGAUUCGAUAUGUUGAUCGUAUGACUGUCCCGAUGACUUUGUGUGGUCACGGGCGAAGAUCCGACCGUUGGAUCUUCAUAUAAUUGAGAAACAGUGAUUAGGGAGGCGAUUCGUGAGAAUCCGUCCGUCGGAUUUUUGUAUAAAUUUGUGAAGAUGUUAGUAAGGACGAUUCAGGAAGAUCCGACCGUUGGAUCUUCGUGAUGAUUUUUGGAGGUUGAUCCUAAAGGCGAUCCGUGAGAAUCCGACCGUUGGAUCAUCAUUUAAUUUCGAUCCGACCGUUGGAUUGUCGUUUGAGUAUGUUUUUGAGUUGUUGGCUAAGUUAAGGUCAUGUUUGACUAGGUGAUUGACGGUCUUCCUUGGGUGAGCGGUUUCGGUGUGUAUUGUGUUGAAUUGAAGACGCAGCGGGAAUAUCGAGCGGGUAAUCCUGCAGGUCAGGAGAAUCAGGGCGGUGAUCGAGCGGGUUAGAGUAUUUGUUAUAGUUUUACAGCAUUUGUAAUAGUGAGGUGAGUUAAGCUCAUUGAGCCUUACAAUUUGAUUUGGUGAGAGUGUGUUGUAAUAAUUAACUUGAGGAUUUGAUUUAUUGUAAUAUUGAGAGGUGUGAAGUGUGGUUGUUUGUGAGAAAAAAAUUCAGGACGUUUAUUCUA